GUCAGGAUGGCUGAGUGGUCUAAGGUGCUGGACUCAAGGUGAUCUACCCUCUCUUAGAAUUCGGGUGUUCCGGUCUCUGAAUGGAGGCGUGGGUUCGAAUCCCAUUUCUGACA